rnacentral:rRNA from 1 species
UACAGAGGGGGCGAGCGUUGUUCGGAAUUACUGGGCGUAAAGGGCGCGUAGGCGGCCCGCUAAGUCGAACGUGAAAUCCCCAGGCUCAACCUGGGAACUGCGUCCGAUACUGGCAGGCUUGAAUCCGGGAGAGGGAUGUGGAAUUCCGAGUGUAGAGGUGAAAUUCGUAGAUAUUCGGAAGAACACCAGUGGCGAAGGCGACUCACUGGACACGUAUUGACGCUGAGGUGCGAAAGCGUGGGGAGCAAACAGG